UGCAGUCGAACGGUAACAUUUCUAGCUUGCUAGAAGAUGACGAGUGGCGGACGGGUGAGUAAUGCUUGGGAACUUGCCUUUAGGAGGGGGAUAACAGUUGGAAACGACUGCUAAUACCGCAUAAUGUCUACGGACCAAAGGGGGCUUCGGCUCUCACCUAAAGAGAGGCCCAAGUGAGAUUAGCUAGUUGGUAAGGUAAAAGCUUACCAAGGCGACGAUCUCUAGCUGUUCUGAGAGGAAGAUCAGCCACACUGGGACUGAGACACGGCCCAGACUCCUACGGGAGGCAGCAGUGGGGAAUAUUGCACAAUGGGGGAAACCCUGAUGCAGCCAUGCCGCGUGUGUGAAGAAGGCCUUCGGGUUGUAAAGCACUUUCAGUUGUGAGGAAAGGUUGGUAGUUAAUACCUGCCAGCUGUGACGUUAACAACAGAAGAAGCACCGGCUAACUCCGUGCCAGCAGCCGCGGUAAUACGGAGGGUGCGAGCGUUAAUCGGAAUUACUGGGCGUAAAGCGCACGCAGGCGGUUUGUUAAGCUAGAUGUGAAAGCCCCGGGCUCAACCUGGGAUGGUCAUUUAGAACUGGCAGACUAGAGUCUUGGAGAGGGGAGUGGAAUUCCAGGUGUAGCGGUGAAAUGCGUAGAUAUCUGGAGGAACAUCAGUGGCGAAGGCGGCUCCCUGGCCAAAGACUGACGCUCAUGUGCGAAAGUGUGGGUAGCGAACAGGAUUAGAUACCCUGGUAGUCCACACCGUAAACGCUGUCUACUAGCUGUUUGUGAAUUUAAUUCGUGAGUAGCGAAGCUAACGCGAUAAGUAGACCGCCUGGGG
rnacentral:rRNA from 1 species